rnacentral:rRNA from 1 species
GAUUAAGUUAUUAAGGGCGCACGGUGGAUGCCUUGGCACUAGAAGCCGAUGAAGGACGUUACUAACGACGAUAUGCUUUGGGGAGCUGUAAGUAAGCUUUGAUCCAGAGAUUUCCGAAUGGGGAAACCCAGCAUGAGUUAUGUCAUGUUAUCGAUAUGUGAAUACAUAGCAUAUCAGAAGGCACACCCGGAGAACUGAAACAUCUUAGUACCCGGAGGAAGAAAAAGAAAAUUCGAUUCCCUUAGUAGCGGCGAGCGAAACGGGAAGAGCCCAAACCAACAAGCUUGCUUGUUGGGGUUGUAGGACACUCUAUACGGAGUUACAAAGGACGACAUUAGACGAAUCAUCUGGAAAGAUGAAUCAAAGAAGGUAAUAAUCCUGUAGUCGAAAAUGUUGUCUCUCUUGAGUGGAUCCUGAGUACGACGGAACACGUGAAAUUCCGUCGGAAUCUGGGAGGACCAUCUCCUAAGGCUAA